rnacentral:lncRNA from 1 species
AUAGAUCACACACAAAAACUGAACAGAUAUACGAGUGCUUAGCUCAACUGUUUAAGCAGCAGGGGAACCGUUUAAGCAGCAGGAGUUAGUUGAAUUCCAAUAUGCGGAUGCAGCUUUCUGCUAACCUAGAUGGUUGAAAGUAUAUUUGUACCAGUUACUAGAGUCAAACUGAGUGCAGAAACUAUUCUUCUAGCCCAAACUUCCACGAUUUUGUUGGCUAAGAUGAUGUGCAGCAGGAGACUACGAU